rnacentral:rRNA from 1 species
UACAGAGGUCCCAAGCGUUGUUCGGAUUCACUGGGCGUAAAGGGUGCGUAGGUGGCAGGGUAAGUUUGAUGUGAAAUCUCCGGGCUUAACCCGGAAACUGCAUUGAAUACUAUCCUGCUCGAGGUUUGGAGGGGGGACUGGAAUUCUCGGUGUAGCAGUGAAAUGCGUAGAUAUCGAGAGGAACACCAGUGGCGAAGGCGAGUCCCUGGACAACACCUGACGCUGAGGCACGAAAGCUAGGGGAGCAAACAGG